rnacentral:rRNA from 1 species
UACAGAGGGUGCGAGCGUUAAUCGGAAUUACUGGGCGUAAAGGGCGCGUAGGCGGUCAUACAAGUGAGAUGUGAAAUCCCCGGGCUUAACCUGGGAACUGCAUUUUAGACUGUAUGACUGGAGUACUGUAGAGGAUAGUGGAAUUUCCGGUGUAGCGGUGAAAUGCGUAGAGAUCGGAAGGAACACCAGUGGCGAAGGCGACUGUCUGGACAGAUACUGACGCUGAGGCGCGAAAGCGUGGGGAGCAAACAGG